ACCAGGUGCAGUGGCACACACCUGUAAUCCCAGCAGUUUAGGAGGUUGAGACAGGAGAAUCACAAGUUGAAAGCCAGCCUCAGCAAUGGUGAGGCGUUUAGCAACUCAGUGAGGCCCUGUCUCUA
rnacentral:sRNA from 1 species